rfam:Stegodyphus mimosarum contig51729, whole genome shotgun sequence.
GCCUUCGUGGUAUAGUGGUCGGCGCACUCGACGCGUAACCGAGAGGUCCGUGGUUCGAUUCCUGGCGAAGGCG